AUGCCAUCAUCAAGGCACUACCAUUCUGGUAGAAUUUACUCACCAACUGGUUCAUCUGAUCAGUGGACUGGCACAUCAGGGCAAUGGUUUUCAAGAGAUGUGAACGUCCAGAUAUACGCUCUGAGUAGUGGGCCGGAAGAUGCCACAUCAUUCCCAAUACUAUGCUGUCUCUAACACAACUGAAAUGGGGUGCACCACAGAGCAGAAAUCCAGGAAAGCAGAAAUGUAAAUGCCUUACCACUAAGACACCAAUAUUGGAAAUCAGGAGCUAAGUGAACACCGCAGUGGAUUUCAGCCACCGUCCCACACCUACAAGAUGUCAAAAGCGCCAAAUCCCAGAGCCUAAUGGGACCUCUGCAGUAGCCAACAUCCCAUAUGCAUAAAAGAACCUUAUAUAGUAGUAUCUCCCCAGCAAAGGGACUGUUCUUGGAAGCCAAACCAUGCUGCUUCUAGAUCCGUAUCCAUUAUCAGCAGUAGAGGAGACAGAGACAGUGCUAGGAGGAGGAAGGACUUAGAGAAAAAGGAGGAGAGCAAUAGAGAAAGGCAUCUGAGUUCCUGUUUAUACCAGUUAUCAGUGAACUUAAUAUACCAAUGAAUUUAAAAUGCACUCGGGGGAAGUUUCCCAUAAAUAGGUUAACUGCAAAAAUAUUCCCACAAGUAGUCAGACUGCCUCCUCUGAGGACAGUGCCUUCAGAAACACUCUUUUUCUGACUAACUUUAGAAACUCUAAAUGCCAGCAACUCUAGCCUGCGGGUCUUCCCCAAGGCCUUCUUACUCUCUUUAGCAUCCUUGAUAAAUAUUUAAAGAACGCUUUCUUAACCUUUCUCUUUGGCUUCUGCAUUCUUGAUACCUUAAUUCUGAAUUGAAAAAGAUCUCUGGUCUAGGACAAUCUUUCUGCCCGUGAGCGUUUGUAACAGAAAGCUCUCCAAGCUAUGCCCAUGGCUUUGCGUUUCCUGGGAAAGGAGGGAGAAAGGAAAAGCAAAUGUUUCAUUCAUCAGUGUCUAAAAGGCCCAACCUGAGCCUCUCAGGAUCUCUGCCUCUUCCAGGGCAAGUCUGCUUGGCCCCAGAGGGAUCUGUCUCCCUCCAACCAGAUGAGAUGCACGGAAUCUAUGGUCCACCAGACAGUACUUAAGGAUGCUGCCUUGCCCAACCUGUGAACAAGCCUCUCUCCAAAACUUUCCUCUCUUGAAUAAAAGUGUGUCAAUGAAUUGUGCAGCCACCAUUCAACUUGGGGCUCCUGAGGGACCAAGUGUCCAGUGAACACUUUGAGAUUUGGUUUGCUGAGAAAUGCCAGAUUCUAAGAAAAUGGGACUUUGGCAGGAUCCCAAGUCCUCAAUGGGCUAACAUAGCCACAGCCCAGUAAAUUUCUGGGAAAAAUUAAUGCAAUGGGACACUAAAGACAAAAAUGCACGCUG
rnacentral:lncRNA from 1 species